UGUUCUUUCUCUAACCUAUCGUUUUUAGUUUAUUAAUCUUUCGCUCAAUAUUAAAUGAAGCCGGAUUUAGUAUGGCGUUUAGACAUAAGUCUAUAGCGAAACAAUUAAGAACUAAGCAAUCCACCACUUAACCGGUACUUACUAAAGUUAUGGUAGUAAAAGAGAGCACCAGCUGAAAUACUUUUCGAUGCGUUUUGUGCUAAAAGUAGACGACAAAGCAAAUAACCCGAGUGGAAACAUUCAUAUUGAAUUAAACGAGAACAAAAUGGAGUAUGUAUGGAAAAUUUUUUUAACCAUCAUAUAACAAUUCCUACAAUAUUUUACACUAGCUACACAUUAUUUUAAUUGCUUAUGGGCAUAUACUUUCAAAUGUCAAUAAUAAUGUAAUAAAUAUAUAUUCGAAUAUGCACUAUGGUCCAUGUGGAUGAAAUU